ACGAUGUCACGUACAAAGCUAACUCGUGGAGUUGAAACAGACUGAAGUUAUAUCAAUGAUUUAAUGGGGGAGAAGAGGGAGAAUCAAGAUCCUGAUUUAUCCUUGGUUAUCCAUUUUUUCCACUCUACAAUACUCCUCUACAUCCCAGCUUGUCUUUUUUAAAGAAAUGAACCACCUUUACAGAAUUGUCGAUCUGUGAAAAGGCCAAAGGCCAGAGCUGACAUCGCUUUAAAAUCUGCUGCCUGACGAGCUAUUAGAUCCAGAUGUCUACCUAUGCCGCCCGUACUUGGAGGGUUUUAUUUUGGGUUCCACUGUUCAAAUAGACUCGGGCCUGACCUCCAGGCCCGCUGUCAAGGAAAGGUCGCCAAUGUUCUUAAAGAUCU